UCAUCAUUUUCGUAUUUCGUUUAAAUUUGUCUUUUUGAAUAACUGAUACCAUGUGAUUAUUGAGGUCGCGAGUUUCAGCAGUGGAAAUGAAUGUAAGUUAAGUUGCAUAAAACAGACACGACACACUUGUGGUUUGGCCCUUCUCUGGACUCAUGCAUAGUGGCAGCUUAGUGUAUCGGGUUUCCUUUUGUCUUUCUGAUCUUUGGGUCCACUUUUGAAUGUGAUCAUAUAAACAAUCUAUAAAUUUAAGAUUAACAGAAACUAUACAUCAUUUAUAUUACAUAAAAUCCAAGUAUAAUUUGAAAAAUUUAUAACCAAAUAGGAAAUUGUUUGAUUUGUUUCGUAUAAAAAAGAUAUGUACAUACAAUAACAAUAUACUCAGUAUAAUCCCAUUAGUGAGGUAUGAAGAGGUUAAAAUGUUCGCAGAGCUUACCUCUAUUUUUGUCGGGUAGAGCAACUAUUUCCGAUAAACCCAGUUUAAAGUUCAGUGGGGACAGAACAGGAUUCAAUUUGUCAUUAUGAUGUUGGUCCCUUAGCAUUUGAAGUGUUGUUCCUAACCAUAGACAUAGACAGUAUUCAUACAAAUUGUAUCACCGAGUUUGUUUUUUCUCUUCUUAAGCUAAUUUCAAAAAGGGGAAGUAAAAAAAAUUAUAUUUUACUUGUUUAAUUUGCAUAUAGAAGAGGAACCGUAACCGUAACAGUUACUAACAUUUGACAUCAGUAUCCUGAAAUUAUGGUGGUUCAAAAUCGAACCGUAGCAGAUAAGCUAAUCGCAAAAUUGGCUAAUUGAUAUUGGGUUAAUGAAUGAUAAAUUUUAGUUAACGGUUUAUCGGUGCGGAGCGAAUUACUCAAUUUUUUUACUGGCUAAACCGUUAAGAAUUAUUUUAAUUACAUUUUUAUCAUAAAUAUAUUUGUUAAAAGAAUGAUUAUGUGCACCCACCCUCAAAUUUAAACUUUCAUUUAUUUCUCAGUAUGAUUUAUAAUUACAAAAUUACCAGUUUAAGUAGA